rnacentral:rRNA from 1 species
UACGUAGGGGGCGAGCGUUGUCCGGAUUCAUUGGGCGUAAAGAGCUCGUAGGCGGCUUGGCGAAGUCGGAUGUGAAAACUCCGAGGCUCCAACCUGGAGCCGCCAUUCGAGACUGCUAUGGCUAGAGUCCGGUAGGGGAGUGUGGAAUUCCCGGUGUAGCGGUGAAAUGCGCAGAUAUCGGGAGGAACACCGAUGGCGAAGGCAGCACUCUGGGCCGGCACUGACGCUGAGGAGCGAAAGCGUGGGGAGCAACAGG